rnacentral:rRNA from 1 species
GCCAACGACCAUACCACGUUGAAUACACCAGUUCUCGUCCGAUCACUGAAGUUAAGCAACGUCGGGCGUACUUAGAACUUGGAUGAGUGACCGCUCGGGAACACAUUGUGCUGUUGGCA